CGGUCAGUAAGAUUGUGUCUGUGUGGUUGUGUCAGUGUGGUUGUGCUAUGCCUUAAACACCUGGACAACAGUCAGUAAGAUUGUGUCUGUGUGGUUGUGUCGGUGUGAUUGUGUCUGUGUGGUUGUGUCAGUGUGGUUGUGCUAUGCCUUAAACACCUGGACAACAGUCAGUAAGAUUGUGUCUGUGUGGUUGUGUCGGUGUGAUUGUGUCUGUGUGGUUGUGUCGGUGUUGUGCUACAUACUGAACAACACCUGGAUAACAGUCAGUAAGGUAGUGUCAUUUCGGUUCGCCAGUGUCGUUGUGUCAGUAAAUAGAUUCUGUUCACGCCAGGUGCUAACUGUAACCUGAAGGAUAUCUUAUUGGAAUACAAGCUAGACUUUCAUCACGACACGCGAGUUGUUUACCUACACACCCCGCCUCUAUCAACACGGUAAACUUAACAAUUCUUGACAACGUAAAUGACCAU